UGUAUUAGGUUGGUGCAAAAGUAAUCGCAGUUUUUGUCAUUACUUUCAAUGGCAAAAACAGCAAUUGCUUUUGCACCAGCCUA
rnacentral:miRNA from 1 species